UACGAACCGAGCGAACGUUAUUCGGAAUCACUGGGCUUAAAGGGCGCGUAGGCGGGCGAUCAAGUCAGGGGUGAAAGCCCCCAGCUCAACUGGGGAAGUGCCUCUGAUACUGGUCGCCUCGAGGGAGGUAGGGGCGUGCGGAACUUCCGGUGGAGCGGUGAAAUGCGUAGAUAUCGGAAGGAACAUCGGUGGCGAAAGCGGCGCGCUGGACCUCUUCUGACGCUGAGGCGCGAAAGCCAGGGGAGCGAACGGG
rnacentral:rRNA from 1 species